GGAAUCUUUUCACUGCUCUGACAAUGAAAAGGAGUGCGGGGAAGCGUGGUGGAGAAAUCCAUUCAUCUUCUGAGGGUCCUUGGCUCAGCCAAAAUGAGAUGAUUCAGCUUAAGCCCAAAAAACCCUCACAGCGAAGCGACAACCAAACCCACUCCUGUCGCAGAACGAUGCAGGGGACUCGACCCUUAUCUCUGGAAAACUGGGAUCAGAGUGACGUGUUAAACUUCACUCAAGUGGAAACUGAAGAGCGGAAUGACAAGUCUCAAGAGU